UACGUAGGGCGCAAGCGUUGUCCGGAAUUAUUGGGCGUAAAGAGCUCGUAGGCGGUUUGUCGCGUCUGCUGUGAAAGCCCGGGGCUCAACCCCGGGUCUGCAGUGGGUACGGGCAGACUAGAGUGCAGUAGGGGAGACUGGAAUUCCUGGUGUAGCGGUGAAAUGCGCAGAUAUCAGGAGGAACACCGAUGGCGAAGGCAGGUCUCUGGGCUGUUACUGACGCUGAGGAGCGAAAGCAUGGGGAGCGAACAGG
rnacentral:ncRNA from 3 species